GAGCAAAUGAUGAUCAUGUUUAUUAUGUGCUGAUACUCAUCCGUGAGGCUUCAUAAUCGAGCUUUUUAAAACUGAUGCUCA
rfam:Gossypium raimondii Chr08_contig_944, whole genome shotgun sequence.